GUUAUGGGUAUCUGCAAGGAACAGGAAGGCUCAACACUACUAACAUUAAUUACUUAGGUUCUUUAGAUAUUGUGUCUCACUUAGUAUUCACAGUAUCUUCCCCAGAAUGUUUCAUCUACUAUGACAAAACACCUGAAACCACGAAAUUGAUAAAGAAAAUAAUUUUUUCUUAAGGAUCUGGAGACAGAGAAAUCCAAAGUCAGGGAGCCUUGCAAGGUGAGGGUCCUCUUGCCGAGUCAACUCGUGGUAGAUGAGGGGGAAGCAACAGAACAUGCGCAAGGAUCCCUCUUGCCUGAGCUCAGUAAUGUAGUGAAGCCACCAGUGAGGGAAGAGGGGUCAGUCCCAAAGCUCAUAAACUGCUGGAGACAUUCAAACCAUG
rnacentral:lncRNA from 1 species